UUGCGAGAAACGAGAAAAUUUAUAAAAAUUAAACAAAUCUAUAAAGUGUUAAGGAGCUGUGGAUUUUACUCAACGAUUUGUUAUUAUUAUUUUAAUUUUGGCAUUCUUUGUCGAAUUGCAUUGUCUCGCAGUUCGCGUGUUAAUUUUUUUGCCUUUCUUUUCCUGCGCAACAACGACGACGUGCCCGUGAGCUGUGCGUAGUGAUUUAUGCGAAAUUUGUUUGUGUGUGAAGCAGCAGCAGACAGCCGCUUUUGUGCGAAAGUUGUUUGUCAGUUGGCGUAUGAAUUGCUCGAUUGAGUGUAAACAAAAAGGAAUUUUUAAAAAAAGAAAUAUUGUACAAAAAAAUUUACUUAAAAUUUUGUGAAUAUUAUUGUUGCUAUUGAAUUCGAGUGCGAACAACGUAUCAUACCAAAAGACGCGUACGGUGAGUUAAAAAGAGAAAAGAGCGAAAUUACAAUUACAAAAAGCCGGAAAGCGUUGUACAUUCUUUGUGACUGACUGCUGUUGCUUUUUGCUGUCUGUGACGCGAAUUUGUGGGAGAAAACGUGCAAAGCGGCUUGCGGAAAAGCGGCCCAAAACAAAAAGCCCAAAAACUUAACAACUCAACAUUUCAAUUGCAAGAUUCCUAAAACUGCAUUUUUUCUGCGGAAUAUCAACUAAAAAGCACAAAAACAGCGAAAAUUUCACUCGACAUAAAAAAUUUAUUUUGCAAAUCACUAGCAAAAAUAUUGCUAUAAGUAAUGAAAGUAAGAAAAGAAAAUUCAUAUACCAAACUAAUAAAUAUCGUGAUUGUGCAAAAAGGCGACUGAGAGUGACCAACACAAAAAUCAAGUUACCGCGUCUUCAAAAAAGGAAAAAAAAA